AGGAACUAACUACUUGUUAACUUAACAUAAUUUAGAUGUCAGGCAGACGUGACAAGGGUAAGGAAAAAUUUGAUACUACGAAACCAAAAAAGAGAAGACAACCUCUGCCUUAUAGACGACCGAUAGGUAUUCAUAUAUCUGAGGGUCGGUUUGCUGACGCGACAACACGACCCUCAUAUUCUAGGUCAUCCGAGGAUUCGAUACCUACUCCAAUGCAUGUAGGUCCACUUCAUGGAUCUACAUUGACUCAUUCUGCUCCUAUGACCGUGCCACCGCCAGCACGGUACUAUCGAAUGGCCGUUGGCCCAUCCAGACAUCUAUAAUCAUUGAUACCCUCCUACAGUAGUCACGUAGCUUCGCACAGUGAUUUUUUUGGAACUAUUAGGUUAUCGGAUAUUCAACUUGGAGGCACUCCAUCUGGUUCUUCAGAUCCGCCAACGCCAGUCCAUCCACCAUCACUUAAUAGGAAGGCAGGAGACAGAGAUGAUUCUGAGAGGAUUUAUCUUGUUCUAUUUGUGAGAGGGUUAGGCCGGAUGCUGGAGUUGGAAAAAAGGCGUGAAUAUGCAUUUCUCGGCAUUUAAAUGGCUACUGGACCAGCUAGCAAAAGAUUCCAGAAAUUGACAAGGAAAGAAUGUUUGAAGAAUUUAAAAAAUUUUACUGGUGGGAUGAUGAAAAUACAUUUCUUAUAAAGAGGAACUUUUUCAUAAGAUGUAGAGCCAGAUGCUCGAACUAAAUUGGUAAAACAUAAGUGAAUUCCUGAAGUCAGAUGGCAACUGUAUCUUCAUUAUUGGAGUAGCCAAGAAUACCAAUUGUUGAGAGAAAAAGGAAAGAAAUCCCGGGCAUCAUCCAAGGGUGGCUCCCUACAUACUACGGGUGCCAGAAGUACUCUUGUUGUGCUGGAAAAAUGG